rnacentral:rRNA from 17 species
GUACCGUGAGGGAAAGGUGAAAAGCACCCCGAUUAGGGGAGUGAAACAGUACCUGAAACCGAAUGCUUACAAGCAGUGGGAGCCCCCUCGUGGGGUGACCGCGUACCUCUUGCAUAAUGGGUCAGUGACUUAAUCUAUCUAGCAAGCUUAAGCCGUUAGGUGUAGGCGCAGCGAAAGCGAGUCUGAAUAGGGCGCAUAGUUAGUAGUAGUAGACGCGAAACCGGGUGAUCUACCCAUGGGCAGGUUGAAGCUGUGGUAACACACAGUGGAGGACCGAACCCGUUGACGUUGAAAAGUCUUGGGAUGACCUGUGGGUAGGGGUGAAAGGCCAAUCAAACUCGGAAAUAGCUCGUACUCCCCGAAAUGCAUUUAGGUGCAGCGUUGACAUAUAGUUUUAUAGAGGUAGAGCUACUGAUUGGAUGCGGGGGCUUCACCGCCUACCAAUUCCUGACAAACUCCGAAUGCUAUAAAAUGAUGGUCAGCAGUGAGGGCAUGGGUGCUAAGGUCCAUGUCCGAGAGGGAAAGAACCCAGACCAUCAGCUAAGGUCCCCAAAUAUAUGUUAAGUUGAACUAACGAGGUGAAACUGCUUAGACAGCUAGGAUGUUGGCUUGGAAGCAGCCAUUCAUUUAAAGAGUGCGUAACAGCUCACUGGUCGAGCGAUCUUGCAUGGAUAAUAAUCGGGCAUAAGUAUAUCACCGAAGCUGUGACUUCCAAUUUAUUGGAGGGGUAGGGGAGCAUUGUAGUGCCGCUGAAGGUGUUCCGUAAGGGAUGCUGGAGGAGCUACAAACGAAAAUGUAGGCAUAAGUAACGAUAAUGCGGGCGAGAAACCCGCACGCCGAAAGACCAAGGUUUCCCCAGCUAUGCUAAUCAGCUGGGGGUCAGUCGGGACCUAACGCGAACCCGAAGGGGGUAGUGGAUGGACAACCAGUUAAUAUUCUGGUACCUGCUCACAAUAAAAGUGACGGGGAUGUGGCGUUGGUGCGUACUGACGGAAUAGUACGUUGAAGGGAGCGGUGACGCCCCGAUAGUACACCGAGGCCUCGGCCAAGGUGAUAAUCCAGCAUAACAUCCUCCGAGAAAACCAAGUGAAGCAGCCCGUACCGUAAACCGACACAGGUAGUUGGGAUGAGAAUUCUAAGGUGCUCGAGAGAUUCAUGGCUAAGGAACUAGGCAAAAUAGACCCGUAACUUCGGGAGAAGGGUCGCCCCCCUCUGGGGGGGCCGCAGUGAAGAGGUCCAGGCGACUGUUUAUCAAAAACACAGGGCUUUGCUAAAUUGAAAGAUGAUGUAUAAGGCCUGACACCUGCCCGGUGCUGGAAGGUUAAGUGGAGGGUUUAGCUUCGGCGAAGAUCUGAAAUGAAGCCCCAGUAAACGGCGGCCGUAACAAUAACGGUCCUAAGGUAGCGAAAUUCCUUGUCGGGUAAGUUCCGACCUGCACGAAUGGCGUAACGAUGGCCACACUGUCUCCACCCGAGACUCAGUGAAAUUGAAAUUGCGGUUAAGAUGCCGUAUACCCGCGGCUAGACGGAAAGACCCCGUGAACCUUUACUACAGCUUCACAGUGGACUUUGAUAUUACUUGUGUAGGAUAGCUGGGAGGCUUUGAAACUCUGUCGCCAGAUAGAGUGGAGCCAAUCUUGAAAUACCAGCCUGGUAAUAUUGAGGUUCUAACCUAGGUCCCUUAGCGGGAUCAGGGACAUUGUGUGGUGGGUAGUUUGACUGGGGCGGUCUCCUCCCAAAGAGUAACGGAGGAGCACGAAGGUACCCUCAGCAUGGUCGGAAAUCAUGCAAUGAGCGCAAGAGUAGAAGGGUGCUUGACUGCGAGAUAGACACAUCGAGCAGGUACGAAAGUAGGUUCUAGUGAUCCGGUGGUUCUGUAUGGAAGGGCCAUCGCUCAACGGAUAAAAGGUACUCCGGGGAUAACAGGCUGAUACCGCCCAAGAGUUCACAUCGACGGCGGUGUUUGGCACCUCGAUGUCGGCUCAUCACAUCCUGGGGCUGGAGCAGGUCCCAAGGGUUUGGCUGUUCGCCAAUUAAAGUGGUACGUGAGCUGGGUUCAGAACGUCGCGAGACAGUUUGGUCCCUAUCUGCCGUGGGCGUUGGAUGAUUGAGAGGGGCUGCUCCUAGUACGAGAGGACCGGAGUGAACGAACCUCUGGUGUACCGGUUGUGAUGCCAAUUGCAUUGCCGGGUAGCUACGUUCGGACGAGAUAACCGCUGAAAGCAUCUAAGCGGGAAGCUUCCUUCAAGAUGAGAUCUCACUGGGAACUUGAUUCCCCUAAAGGGCCGUUGAAGACUACGACGUUGAUAGGUUGGGUGUGGAAGCGCUGUGAGGCGUUGAGCUAACCAAUACUAAUUGCCCGUGAGGCUUGACC